rnacentral:ncRNA from 1 species
ACACGAAAAAGGCAAACCCGACCGAAAGGCGGGGGCGCAAAGCCAUUGGGUCUAAGGCAGUAUUAAUCGCUGCUAGGGCGGCCAGGUUACCGAA